rnacentral:rRNA from 1 species
UACGUAGGCAGCGAGCGUUUGUUCGGAGUUACUGGGCGUAAAGGGUGUGUAGGCGGUUGUUUAAGUUUGGUGUGAAAUCUCCCGGCUCAACUGGGAGGGUGCGCCGAAUACUGAAUGACUUGGAGUGCGGGAGAGGUGAGUGGAAUUCCUGGUGUAGCGGUGAAAUGCGUAGAUAUCAGGAGGAACACCGGUGGUGUAGACGGCUCACUGGACCUUAACUGACGCUGAGACACGAAAGGCGUGGGUAGCAAACAGG